GAAUCUUGGACAAUGGGGGCAACCCUGAUCCAGCGACGCCGCGUGGGUGAUGAAGGCCUUCGGGUUGUAAAGCCCUUUCAACGGGGACGAUGAUGACGGUACCCGGAGAAGAAGCACCGGCUAACUCCGUGCCAGACGCCGCGGUCAGACGGAGGGUGCUAGCGUUGUUCGCAAUCACUGGGCGUAAAGGGCCCGUAGGCGGCCUGGGAAGUCGGCUUGUGAAAGCCCGGGGCUCCACCCCGGAGGUGCGGCCGAUACUCCUAGGCUCGAGGCCGGAAGAGGAGGGUGGAAUACCCAGUGUAGAGGUGAAAUUCGUAGAUAUUGGGUGGAACACCGGUGGCGAAAGCGGCUCUCUGGUCCGGUCCUGACGCUGAGGCGCGAAAGCGUGGGGAGCAAACAGG
rnacentral:rRNA from 1 species